UACGUAGGUGGCGAGCGUUGUCCGGAAUUACUGGGUGUAAAGGGAGCGUAGGCGGGAGAGCAAGUCGACUGUGAAAUCUAUGGGCUUAACCCAUAGCUGCGAUCGAAACUGUUCAUCUUGAGUGAAGUAGAGGCAGGCGGAAUUCCUAGUGUAGCGGUGAAAUGCGUAAAUAUUAGGAGGAACACCAGUGGCGAAGGCGGCCUGCUGGGCUUUAACUGACGCUGAGGCUCGAAAGCGUGGGGAGCAAACAGG
rnacentral:rRNA from 1 species